UUUAUUAGAUAAAAAGCCAAUGCAUGCUUUUACAGUAUGGAAAUUGGUGAUUUAUAAUAACUUGGCAAAUCGCAAAGUGAAAACAGGCGAUAAAUCAUUCAAGUUUCUGACCUAUCAGCUUUCGACGGUAUGGUAUUGGCUUACCGUGGCAGUGACGGUUAACGGGGGAUUAGGGUUCGAUUCCGGAGAGGGAGCCUGAGAAACGGCUACCACAUCUAAGGAAGGCAGCAGGCGCGCAAAUUACCCAAUUCUAACAGUUUGAGAGAGGUAGUAACAAGAAAUAACAAUACAAGGCAAUUAAAAUGCUUUGUAAUUGGAAUGAUAGAAAUUUAAACCCUUUUUAAAGUAUCAAUUGGAGGGCAAGUCUGGUGCCAGCAGCCGCGGUAAUUCCAGCUCCAAUAGCGUAUAUUAAAAUUGUUGCAGUUAAAAAGCUCGUAGUUGAAGUUCUGCUAAAAGUAACCGGUCUGCUUUUAAUAAAAGUGGUAUCUUGGUGUGUAUUUAGCAAUGAUGUCCUUUGAAGUGUUUUUUACUUUAUUGUAAUAAAGCAUAUUCAGGACUUUUACUUUGAGAAAAUUAGAGU
rnacentral:rRNA from 1 species